UCCGUGUUAGUUGAAGUACAUGUAGAUAUGUUGGCAAACUACCCAAGGUUGGUAGAUUCUAUGAAAAUUGACCUGUGCUCUCUUAUACAAUGUCAAAAACUCCUUGAUGGUCUGUUCCAUAUUAUUUAUUUAUUUGCUUUAAAAUUCAUGCAUAUUAUAUUUAAAUGAAGUCAGAUACAUUCUACUAUUAAUUUUUGAAAAAAUUAAAAGCAAAAUUUUGAAUUCAUGUGUCCAUGAAAUUAAAAAAGACGAUGA
rnacentral:lncRNA from 1 species